rnacentral:rRNA from 1 species
CAGUAGCCGCGGUAAUACAGAGGGUGCAAGCGUUAAUCGGAAUUACUGGGCGUAAAGCGCGCGUAGGUGGUUUGUUAAGUUGGAUGUGAAAGCCCCGGGCUCAACCUGGGAACUGCAUCCAAAACUGGCAAGCUAGAGUACGGUAGAGGGUGGUGGAAUUUCCUGUGUAGCGGUGAAAUGCGUAGAUAUAGGAAGGAACACCAGUGGCGAAGGCGACCACCUGGACUGAUACUGACACUUAGGUGCGAAAGCGUGGGGAGCAAACAGGAUUAGAUACCCGUGUAGUCCCUGUCUCUUAUAC